AACGAACGCUGGCGGCAGGCUUAACACAUGCAAGUCGAGCGCCCCGCAAGGGGAGCGGCAGUCGGGUGAGUAACGCGUGGGAAUCUACCCAUCUCUACGGAAUAACGCAUGGAAACGUGUGCUAAUACCGUAUACGUCCUUCGGGAGAUAGAUUUAUCGGAGAUGGAUGAGCCCGCGUUGGAUUAGCUAGUUGGUGGGGUAAAGGCCGACCAAGGCGACGAUCCAUAGCUGGUCUGAGAGGAUGAUCAGCCACACUGGGACUGAGACACGGCCCAGACUCCUACGGGAGGCAGCAGUGGGGAAUAUUGGACAAUGGGCGCAAGCCUGAUCCAGCCAUGCCGCGUGAGUGAUGAAGGCCCUAGGGUUGUAAAGCUCUUUCACCGGUGAAGAUAAUGACGGUAACCGGAGAAGAAGCCCCGGCUAACUCCGUGCCAGCAGCCGCGGUAAUAC
rnacentral:rRNA from 1 species